rnacentral:tRNA from 1 species
GCUGGCGUGGCGCAGUUGGUAGCGCGCUUGACUGUGGAUCAAGAGGUCGGCGGUUCGAGCCCGCCCGCCAGUACCA